rnacentral:rRNA from 1 species
UACGAAGGCAGCGAGCGUUGUUCGGAGUUACUGGGCGUAAAGAGUGCGUAGGCGGUUUUUCUAAGUUUGGUGUGAAAUCUCCCGGCUUAACUGGGAGGGUGCGCCGAAGACUGGAAGGCUUGAGUAUGGGAGAGGUAAGCGGAAUUCCUGGUGUAGCGGUGGAAUGCGCAGAUAUCAGGAGGAACACCGAUGGCGAAGGCAGCUCGCUGGGACGGUACUGACGCUGAGGCGCGAAAGCGUGGGGAGCAAACAGG